rnacentral:rRNA from 1 species
GUCCAUGGCCAUACCACACUGAAUGUGCCCAAUCUCAUCUGAACUAGGAAGCUAAGUAGGGUAGGGCCUGGUUAGUACUUGGAUGGGAGAAAGUUCUUUGCCUUAAUUC